CCUCCUUUCCCUCCUUUCCCUCCUUUCCCUCCUUUCCCUCCUUUCCCUCCUUUCCCUCUUUCUCUUUCUAUCUGUUACUGAUAAAUUCCGAAACAAGGUCCUGGUCCUCCACCUGGAAGCGAGUGUAUACAAAGGAGGAUCUUCCAUUUUCGCGAACAGAACCAUAAAUGAUUUCUCCCUCCUCACAUCCAACCUCAAAGACA
rnacentral:ribozyme from 1 species